rnacentral:rRNA from 2 species
CGUUCGAGACCAGGACGUUGAUAGGCUGGGUGUGGAAGUGCAGUAAUGCAUUAAGCUAACCAGUACUAAUUGCCCGUAAGGCUUGUCCCU